GUCGCCUCCUCGCCCUCGUGUCACCCUCCUCUUCAACAACCCUCAACGUGUCCCUUCAACGAGCAGGACCCCACGUCAUCACGUCGUCGUAUUUAUAACCAAAGUCCCCUCUCAGAUCCUCUCCCAUCUAAAAAGCCUAAUUUUAAAAAAAAAAAAAUUAAACUUUUGCCCCACACUCAGCACCUUUCCUCGAUCCUAGGGUUUCUAAUAAUAAAGGGCCGAAAUCAUGAGCUUCGUGUUUCGGGGGAGCAGGGGAGACGUUGAGAGUGGGUUCUCAGGGUUUGCACCCGAGAGGCGACCAACGAGAAUGCAUGCUGGUGGGCGAUCCGUUAAUACGAAUUCGAUGGCGUUUCUUCUCACGG